rnacentral:lncRNA from 1 species
CUGGACAUUGCUAUUAUCCAGACAGAAGAUGACCGGAAAAAGAAAUAAAGGCUGAUAACUGUCAACACCCAGCUGUUUUUCAAGAUGGAACAUGGUACUGAGAAAACCAGAUUGACUAUCAAAGCACCUCACAGUACAAGACACAGAUUGUUAACUACAACUCAGAAAAAGUGGUUAAUAGGAAGGAGCAGAAGAAGAGGAAUAUGGAUUUCCUACUGGAGAGAAAAACCAUCCUGGAACAAUAUUCUGCAACAAUGAACUUUACAAUGACAUUUGGUGGCAUAUGAAUUUGAAUUCGGAAGAAACACAUCAAUUAACGAAAGAAACCUUGAUGCAAUUAAUAAAUAACAACAACACCAGCCUACUAAGAGCAGAUGCCCUGCCAAGAGAAUGGAAUAUAAAAGGCCAGCAAAAUCUUUCAGAAACCUGACAUCACGGGACACUUGUACUAAAGCACGAUUUGCAGCUUUUCUUAAACUCUACAUAUUAUGUACAUACCUGCAAAGCAAGGAAC